AGGAUAGGUGCAGAGACUCAACGGAAGCUGUUCUAACAAAUGGAGUUGGCUGCGUUAGUAGAGAAAUAUUUCCAUCUAAAAUUCCGAAAGGAUAAAGUGAAGGAUAAACGUAUAUAUAUGUAUUGAAUACUAUAUCAAAUGAUUAAUGACGACUCGGCUGAAUCUGUAUUUUUUAUAUCAAAACGGAAGAAUUGGUGUGAAUAGAUUCGAAUCGAGUAUUCAUUGAUCAAAUGAUUCACUCCAUAGUCUGAUAGAUCUUUUCAAGAAUUGAUUAAUCGGACGAGAAUAAAGAUAGAGUCCCGUUCUACAUGUCAAUGUCGGCAACAAUGAAAUUUAUAGUAAGAGGAAAAUCCGUCGACUUUAAAAAUCGUGAGGGUUCAAGUCCCUCUAUCCCCA
rnacentral:tRNA from 1 species